UACGUAGGGGGCAAGCGUUGUCCGGAUUUAUUGAGCGUAAAGAGCGUGUAGGCGGUUAGGUAGGUCCGUUGUGAAAACUCGAGGCUCAACCUCGAGACGCCGAUGGAAACCAUCUGACUAGAGUCCGGAAGAGGAGAGUGGAAUUCCUGGUGUAGCGGUGAAAUGCGCAGAUAUCAGGAAGAACACCCGUGGCGAAAGCGGCUCUCUGGAACGGUACUGACGCUGAGACGCGAAAGCGUGGGGAGCGAACAGG
rnacentral:rRNA from 1 species